rnacentral:rRNA from 1 species
GUGAGGAAUAUUGGGCAAUGGGCGAAAGCCUGACCCAGCCACGCCGCGUGAGUGAUGAAGGCCUUCGGGUUGUAAAGCUCUGUGGGGAGGGAAGAAAAAGCGCAGGAGUAACUGCCUGUGUGUUGACGGUACCUCCUUAGCAAGCACCGGCUAACUCUGUGCCAGCAGCCGCGGUAAUACAGAGGGUGCAAACGUUGCUCGGAAUUACUGGGCGUAAAGCGCGUGUAGGCUGACAUGCAAGUCGGGUGUGAAAUCCCAGGACUCAACCUUGGAACUGCACUCGAAACUGCACGUCUUGAGUACUGGAGAGGGAAGCGGAAUUCCGGGUGUAGAGGUGAAAUUCGUAGAUAUCCGGAGGAACACCAGUGGCGAAGGCGGCUUCCUGGACAGUAACUGACGCUGAGACGCGAAAGCGUGGGGAGCAAACAGGAUUAGAAACCCUGGUAGUCC